CUCCCGCCGGCGACCGGCGCACGGGUGAGUAACACGUAUGAAACCUGCCCGUAGCAGGGGGAUAAGCGGAAGAAAUUCCGUCUAAUACCGCGUAACAACCCGAGGAGGCAUCUCCUCGGGUUUAAAGGAAGCGAUUCCGGCUACGGAUGGUCAUGCGUCGCAUUAGCUAGUUGGCGGGGUAACGGCCCACCAAGGCGACGAUGCGUAGGGGUUCUGAGAGGAAGGUCCCCCACACUGGUACUGAGACACGGACCAGACUCUACGGGAGGCAGCAG
rnacentral:rRNA from 1 species